rnacentral:rRNA from 1 species
ACGUACACUCCUGCGGGAGGCAGCAGUGGGGAAUAUUGGACAAUGGGCGCAAGCCUGAUCCAGCCAUGCCGCGUGAGUGAUGAAGGCCCUAGGGUUGUAAAGCUCUUUUGUGCGGGAAGAUAAUGACGGUACCGCAAGAAUAAGCCCCGGCUAACUUCGUGCCAGCAGCCGCGGUAAUACGAAGGGGGCUAGCGUUGCUCGGAAUCACUGGGCGUAAAGGGUGCGUAGGCGGGUCUUUAAGUCAGGGGUGAAAUCCUGGAGCUCAACUCCAGAACUGCCUUUGAUACUGAAGAUCUUGAGUUCGGGAGAGGUGAGUGGAACUGCGAGUGUAGAGGUGAAAUUCGUAGAUAUUCGCAAGAACACCAGUGGCGAAGGCGGCUCACUGGCCCGAUACUGACGCUGAGGCACGAAAGCGUGGGGAGCAAACAGGAUUAGAUACCCCUGUAGUCCCAUG